rnacentral:rRNA from 1 species
UCAAGCUACUAAGAGCCAUUGGUGGAUGAUUUGGCGCUUUUAGGCGAUGAAGGACGUGGCAAGCUGCGAUAAGCCUCGGGGAGUUGCAAACAAACUUUGAUCCGGGGAUUUCCGAAUGGGGCAACCCCCACUCAAUCAUGGGUGGAACACCUUCUGAAUUCAUAGGAAGGUGUGGCGAAACGGGGGGAAUUGAAACAUCUUAGUACCCCCAGGAGAAGAAAGAAAUCGAUUCCGCAAGUAGCGGCGAGCGAACGCGGAAGAGCCUAAACCGAUAAGAUGUCAAGCUUCGAGGCGUUGUCUUUUCGGUGUUGUGGGGCCGAACGGUUGGAUCUCGAAAUCCGACGGGAAGAAAUCCUACUCAACUUUAGCAGAACGGUCUGGAACGACCGGUCCAAGAAGGUGAUAACCCUGUAUGCAAAAAGGUUGAGUGCUUCCUGGUUCGUCACCCCAAGUACUACGAGCUCAGAGGAAUCUCGUGGGAAGCUGGGAGAACCACCUCCUAAGGCUAAAUACUCAUAAGCGACCGAUAGUGAACAAGUACCGUGAGGGAAAAUUGAAAAGAACCCCUGUUAGGGGAGUGAAAUAGAACCUGAAACCAAUUGGCUUACGGGCGGUAGGAGGGCUAUGCAUGUGGCGCAAGCUGCAUGAAUGCCUGACUGCGUGCCUUUUGCAUAAUGAUCCGGCGAGUUAUUGGAUGCGGCAAGGCUAAGCACUCAAGGGUGUGGAGCCGCAGCGAAAGCGAGUCCGAAAUGGGCGAAUCAGUCUCAUCCAAUAGACCCGAAGCUGAGUGAGCUUACCAUGGCCAGGAUGAAGCCCCGGUAAAACGGGGUGGAGGUCCGAAGCGGUGUAUGUUGAAAAAUGCUCGCAUGAGCUGUGGUAAGGGGUGAAAGGCUAAUCAAACUCAGUAAUAGCUGGUUCUCCUCGAAACAUCUUUAGGGAUGGUCUGGUGUCGUAACCGUCAGAGGUAGAGAACUCAAUGGGCUAGGGAACUUAACCGUUUACCGAACCCAAGGAAACUCCGAAUGCUGGCGGCGUAAUCACUGGAAUCAGUCCGUGGGGGCUAAGCUUCACGGUCGAGAGGGAAACAACCCAGAUCGCCGAUUAAGGUCCCUAAAUUACUGCUCAGGGGACAAGGUAGUUGGAGAGCCUAGACACCCAGGAUGUUGGCUUAGAAGCAGCCAUACAUUUAAAGAGUGCGUAACAGCUCACUGGUCAAGUGUUCUCGCGCCAAAAAUGAUCGGGGCUCAAGCAUGAUACCGAAGCCGCGGAUGUCCAUCUUCUUCGGAACGAUGGGCGUGGUAGAGGAGCAUUCCCAGGGCAUUGAAGCGGAAGCGGCAAGCAUCCGUGGAGCGCUGGGAAGAGAUUAUGCCGGAAUGAGUAGCGAUAAAACGGGUGUAAAACCCGUUCGCCGUAAAUCUAAGGUUUCCCGGGGAAGGUUAAUCCGCCCGGGGUUAGUCGGUCCUAAGUCGAGGCAGGAAAUGCGUAGAUGAUGGACAGCAGGUUAAAUAUUCCUGCACUAUUAGUGUUGCGUUACCAAUGUAAUUGGUGCGCAGGAGGCUAGAUGAUCGCACGAUUGGAAAUGUGCGUCCAAACCUGUAGCCCUAGACGAAAGUUUAGGGUAAGGGGUGUUAGGGAGCUCAAUCUUCGGAAAGAGCGAACUCGUCGACGCCACACUGCCGAGAAAAGCCAUUUGCAUGAGUAACAUUAAUAACCGUACCGUAAACGGACACACGUGGAUGAGGUGAGAAUCCUAAGGCGCUCGAGUUAAUCCUCUCUAAGGAACUAGGCAAAAUGGCCCCGUACCUUCGGUAUAAGGGGUGCCUGAUUAGGGUAACCGUCAAGGAAGCCCGAAAAGGUCUCAGUGAAAUGAGUCAAGCGACUGUUUAACAAAAACACAGCACUCUGCAAAGUCGACAAGACGACGUAUAGGGUGUGACAUGUGCCCGGUGCCGGAAGGUCAAGCGGAGACGUUAGCCGUAAGGCGAGGCGUCGAAGUUAAGCCCCGGUAAACGGCGGCCGUAACUAUAACGGUCCUAAGGUAGCGAAAUUCCUUGUCGGGUAAGUUCCGACCUGCCCGAACCGGGUAACGAGCUGGCCGCUGCCUCAGCGAGUA